AGAUUGAACGCUGGCGGCAGGCCUAACACAUGCAAGUCGAGCGGCAGCACGGGUACUUGUACCUGGUGGCGAGCGGCGGACGGGUGAGUAAUGCCUAGGAAUCUGCCUGAUAGUGGGGGAUAACGCUCGGAAACGGACGCUAAUACCGCAUACGUCCUACGGGAGAAAGCAGGGGACCUUCGGGCCUUGCGCUAUCAGAUGAGCCUAGGUCGGAUUAGCUAGUUGGUGGGGUAAUGGCUCACCAAGGCGACGAUCCGUAACUGGUCUGAGAGGAUGAUCAGUCACACUGGAACUGAGACACGGUCCAGACUCCUACGGGAGGCAGCAGUGGGGAAUAUUGGACAAUGGGCGAAAGCCUGAUCCAGCCAUGCCGCGUGUGUGAAGAAGGUCUUCGGAUUGUAAAGCACUUUAAGUUGGAGGAAGGCAGUUACCUAAUACGUAUCUGUUUUGACGUUACCGACAGAAUAAGCACCGGCUAACU
rnacentral:rRNA from 1 species